UACGUAGGCAGCGAGCGUUGUUCGGAGUUACUGGGCGUAAAGCGUGCGUAGGCGGCGGUCCAUGUCUGGUGUGAAAUCUCCCGGCUUAACUGGGAGGGUGCGCCGGAAACGGGGCUGCUGGAGUGCGGGAGAGGUAAGCGGAAUUCCCGGUGUAGCGGUGAAAUGCGUAGAUAUCGGAAGGAACAUCAGUGGCGAAAGCGGCUUCCUGGACCAGCACCGACGUUCAGGCACGAAAGCGUGGGGAGCAAACAGG
rnacentral:rRNA from 1 species